GUGUCAGCAGCCGCGGUAAGACAGAGGUCCCGAGCGUUAGGCGGAAUCACUGGGCUUAAAGCGUGUGUAGGCGGAUUUGUAAGUACCUUGUGAAAUCCCACGGCUUAACCGUGGAACUGCUUGGUAUACUGCUUAUCUUGGGCCACUUAGGGGUUACCGGAACAAACGGUGGAGCGGUGAAAUGCGUAGAUAUCGUUUGGAACGCCAAUGGUGAAAACAGGUAACUGGGAGUGUGCCGACGCUGAGACACGAAAGCCAGGGGAGCGAACGGGAUUAGAAACCCUCGUAGUCC
rnacentral:rRNA from 1 species